rnacentral:rRNA from 1 species
CGUGUGUGAAGAAGGCCUGAGGGUUGUAAAGCACUUUUAAUCGGGAGGAACACCUUCAUGCUAAUACCUGCAGUAUGACGUUACCGAUAGAAAAAGCACCGGCUAACUCCGUGCCAGCAGCCGCGGUAAUACGGAGGGUGCAUGCGUUAAUCGGAAUUACUGG